UGGGUAACCUGCCCAAGAGAUCGGGAUAACACCUGGAAACAGAUGCUAAUACCGGAUAACAAUAGAUGAUGCCUAUCAACUGUUUAAAAGAUGGUUCUGCUAUCACUCUUGGAUGGACCUGCGGUGCAUUAGCUAGUUGGUAGGGUAACGGCCUACCAAGGCGAUGAUGCGUAGCCGAGUUGAGAGACUGAUCGGCCACAUUGGGACUGAGACACGGCCCAAACUCCUACGGGAGGCAGCAGGU
rnacentral:rRNA from 1 species